AUUGAACGCUGGCGGCAGGCCUAACACAUGCAAGUCGAACGAGUGGCGGACGGGUGAGUAAUGUCAGGGAAACUGCAUGAUGGAGGGGGAUAACUACUGGAAACGGUAGCUAAUACCGCAUACCAUCAGAUGUGCCCAGAUGGGAUUAGCUGGUUGGUGGGGUAACGGCUCACAAAGGCGACGAUCCCUAGCUGGUAUGAGAGGAUGACCGGCCACACUGGAACUGAGACACGGUCAAGACUCCUACGGGCGUCAGCAGUGGGUAAUAUUGCACAAUGGUCGCAAGCCUGAUGCAGCCAGGCCGCGUGUAUGAAGAAGGCCUUCGUGUUGUAAAGUACUUUCAGCGGGGAGGCGUUACCCGCAGAAGAAGCACCGGCUAACUCCGUGCCAGCAGCCGCGGUAAUUC
rnacentral:rRNA from 1 species